CUUGGCCCUGGACGCCCCUCGUCCCCGCCGCCGGCCGCGGCUGUGACACCCCACCCCCGAGGGGCCUGCAGCUGCGCCCACCGCCCCACUUAGGAUGCUGUGUUCUUGACUUUACAAGCCGGCUGCAGAGUUUAUGCCUGCGUCUUCCUAGCUCUCUGCUCCAGUCGGAAAGCCAUUGCUCUCUGAUCCUGGGUUUUACCAGCAACCCAUAUAGUGAUCUUGUUUUCAUCUCUGCCCUUUUCUCUUUCAUAAACACUCAUGGAAAUAGCCGCCAUAAAGUGGCGAUAAUACAUAAAUGCAGCAGGCACAGUUUCAAUCUUCCCAAAUAGAUGGUACUCCUAAUCAGUCCUCUAGGCUGCCUCCCGAGAGGGGUCAGAUGCUGGGAAGUGGGGUUGGAGGGAGACCAAGAGGUUUUUAGGACCUCUGGGCUCAGUCUGAGUGGGAAAGCCCUCCUUCUGGGUCAAAUCAGGUCAGUCCCUGCCUGCUGAGGCCAAUUCCAAUCUUUCCCCCUAGGAAUUAUCCGGUUAGAUAAUGUCAGAUAAUGCCGGUUCCUGUUUUCCAUUGGAUUCCUCUCUGGCUUCCAGUCAGGGCCCCCAGAUUAGAUUUUAGCUGCAUUCUGAGAGUAUUGGUUGGUUGGAAUUUGCCCUGACUGGGGGCUACCACGUGCGAAGGAAACGGUGACGGGAGUGAGUAUCGCUUUCUGUUUUGGAUGGAGUGGACUGGUGCUAAGCGUGCAUUUCAAUCUCGGUCGUCCUCCUGGCGGGUCUUCCUGGUUUGCGGAGAAAACAGCCACAGGAGGUGAAUUUCUCCAGCCACCUAGGCAAGCAAUGGAAAAGAUAUCCUCAGGUGAGGAUUAAAAAAAGAUCAGAAGCCCCAGAACUUCUUCCUCUGCCCCCGCAGCCCCGUGACCUCAGGAGGAGAGUUGCAAACAGGUGAGUUCAGACUUGCCCUUCUUCCGUGGCUAGGUAGUGGGACAGGUAACAGUGGGUGCCUGGGAGCUUUGGCAACUAUGAAGCACUUUUCUUUUGGCAACUGUGAAGUAAUUUUUUUAAAUAUAAGAGAUUGCCCUUGUGAUUUUGAAAGAUAAUCUCUAGAUGAAACUCACAGGUCUUUAUAAUGCUCACAAAGUCUGGAAAGAUGGUGAAUUCUACCAGUUUAGAUGUGUCUGGGAGGAGCAUGUUUGGGGACGUUCAUAUGUCUGGAACCUCAAGG